ensembl:misc_RNA 7SK 7SK RNA
GGAUGUGAGGGCAAUCUGGUUGUGACAUCUGUCACCCCAUUGAUCAUCAGGGUUGAUUCAGCUGAUCUAGCUGGCUAGGCCAGUGUCCCGUUCCUCCCUCAUGGCUCCAUGUGCGCCACCCCCCCCCCCCACCCCGCUCCCCGCCAACCAAGGCUGCAUGCUCAGUUGAAGAGGACAACCAUCCCUGAUGGAGGAGGACUGCUCUUCGGUCAAGGGUAUAUGAGUCGCUGUGCUCCCCUGCUAGAACCUUCAAGCAAGCUCUCAAGGAAUAAGUGGUAAUCUAAGGAUCAUUAACAUAUUUCCACAGUUACCUGAAGAGCAGAAGAGGAGGUUUGCCUCCUUUACGU